UAGGAACUGAGAAGUGGUCUGUGGUCCCCACCUGCAGAACCACUCCUUUAUUGGGGGUGUCUUGCUAAUUGCCUAUAAUUUCCACCUGUUGUCUAUUCCAUUUGCACAACAGCAUGUGAAAUUUAUUGUCAAUCAGUGUUGCUUCCUAAGUGGACAGUUUGACUUGGAGUUACAUUGUGUUGUUUAAGUGUUCACUUUAUUUUUUGGAGCAGUGUAUAUAUUUUUAAAUGUGACUAACAGAAAUGGAAUAAUGUGUCCCUGAACAAAGGGGGGGGGGUCAAAAUCAAAAGUAACAGUCAGUAUCUGGUGUGACCACCAGCAGUGCUGCAGUGCAUUUCCUCCUCAUGGACUGCACCAGAUUUGCCAGUUCUUGCUGUGAGAUGUUACCCCACUCUUCCACCAAGUCACCGGCAACAGGACCCAGACGUGCUCAAUGGGAUUGAGAUCUGGGCUCUUCGCUGGCCAUGGCAGAACACUGACAUUCCUGUCCUGCAGGAAAUCAGGACAGCAAGCGAGCAGUAUGGCUGGUGGCAUUGUCAUGCUGGAGGGUCAGGUCAGGAUGAGCUUGUAGGAAGGGUACCACAUGAGGGAGGAGGAUGUUGUCCCUGUAAAGCACAGAGUUGAGAUUGCCUGCAAUGACAACAAGCUCAGUCCGAUGAUGCUGUGACACACCGCCCCAGACCAUGACGGACCCUCCACCUCCAAAUCGAUCCCGCUCCAGAGUACAGGCCUCGGUGUAACGCGAAUCUGACCAUCACCCCUGGUGAGACAAAACCGCGACUCAUCAGUGAAGAGCACUUUUUGCCAGUCCUGUCUGGUCCAGCGACGGUGGGUUUGUGCCCAUAGGCGACAUUGUUGCCGGUGAUGUCUGGUGAGGACCUGCCUUACAACAGGCCUACAAGCCCUCAGUCCACCCUCUCUCAGCCUAUUGCGGACAGUCUGAGCCCUGAUGGAGGGAUUGUGCGUUCCUGGUGUAACUCGGGAAGUUGUUGUUGCCAUCCUGUAUCUGUCCCGCAGGUGUGAUGUUUGGAUGUACCGAUCCUGUGCAGGUGUUGUUACACGUGGUCUGCCACUGCGAGGACGAUCAGCUGUCCGUCCUGUCUCCCUGUAGCGCUGUCUUUGGCGUCUCACAGUACGGACAUUGCAAUUCAUUGCCCUGGCCACAUCUGCAGUCCUCAUGCCUUCUUGCAGCAUGCCUAAGGCACAUUCAUGCAGGAACCCCACUAAUCUACAGACGGAAACGGAUGAGGUGGCUAAAAACAGACCUCCCUCCAUCUUCUGCCAGCUUGCUACCUAUGGCCCGGCUAGCUGUCUGAAUCUCACUGGACCCUUAUGAUCACUCGGCUAAGCAUGCCUCUCUUUAAUGUCAAUAUGCCUUGUCCAUUGCUGUUCUGGUUAGUGUUUAUUGGCUUAUUUCACUGUAGAGCCUCUAGCCCUGCUCAUUAUACCUUAUCCAACCUUUCAGUUCCACCACCCACACAUGCUAUGACAUCUUCUGGUUUCAAUGAUGUUUCUAGAGACAAUAUAUCUCUCAUCAUCACUCAAUGCCUAGGUUUACCUCCACUGUAUUCACAUCCUACCAUACCUUUGUCUGUACAUUAUACCUUGAAGCUAUUUAUCGCCCCCAGAAACCUGCUCCUUUUACUCUCUAUUCCGGACGACAUAGACGACCAAUUCUCAUAGCUUUUAGCCGUACCCUUAUCCUACUCCUCCUCUGGUCCUCUGGUGAUGUAGAGGUGAGUCCAGGCACUGCAGUGCCUAGCUCCACUCCUGCUCCCCAGGCGCUCUCUUUUGAUGACUUCUGUAACCGUAAUAGCCUUGGUUUCAUGCAUGUUAACAUUAGAAGCCUCCUCCCUAAGUUUGUUUUAUUCACUGCUUUAGCACACUCUGCCAACCCGGAUGUCCUAGCCGUGUCUGCAUCCUGGCUUAGGAAGUCCACCAAAAACUCUGAAAUCUUCAUCCCUAACUACAACAUUUUCAGACAAGAUAGAACGGCCAAAGGGAUAGAGAUAGCCUGCAGACUUCUGUCCUACUAUCCAGAUUUGCCUUGUUAGCUGUACAUUCACCACUCUCUCAAAUGGCUAACUCCGCCCUCUUGUGAGUGGCGGCACAGGCCAAGGGCCAGUGAGACGUUACACGAACUACCCCAGCUUGAGAGAGUACUGGUGAGACAGACGGUGGUGAGGCUGAGGCAGGCUGUGAUGCAUGGAGGAGGAGGCAGAGGAGACACAGAAAGAGAGGAAGCCAGCAGAGAGAAAGGUUCCAUGACUUUAUGGAGACAUUUCUUCCCAUUCUUUCCAAGAAGUUGGAUACACAACAUCAACACUCCCAGUAAACUGGACACAUGAAUAUUUGUUGUGCUACAAGAGCUACACCAGAGCACCCACACAGACCAAGUCUCAAGGAACAGGUUGGCAAGGACACAGGAGAGGCAUCAUGGGAGGAACAAAACGGGAUAAGAAAUGUGACGACUGACUGAGUGAAAGAAGAAAACGUCAGAGAAAGAAGGAAAGAGAGAAGGAUUGUGCGUUCUCUACUUUCUCAGAAGUGCAGCCCCUAAAUUCCUGUUACUAUGCCUGAGAGAGGGAGGGCAGCAGACCAGUCAAAAUGAACCCCUACGUCACCUCUCACUUUAGGAGGGAUCUCUUUCCCCACUUCCACUUGUUGUAGAGGCUUCUCUUCUCUUCACCCCUCUCUUACUGUUUGUGUGACAUGGG
rnacentral:lncRNA from 1 species